rnacentral:ncRNA from 1 species
UAUUGUUUUAUAAAAAAAGAUUGAGUUUCAAAUUUAAUUUUCAAAACUAGUAAUCAAGUUAUCUAUGUAUCAAGUGAAUAUGACUUGAAACUUGGCUCUGAUUUAUUGAUAUGGCGAAAAACUAAAAAAUACACAUGGUUUCAGUUGAUAGAGGCGAGGUAAGAAAAUAAGUGGUUUUAGUAUAUAACUUAAGAUCUAUUUUUUUCUUAGGGUUUUAUAAAAUUAUAAAAUGCCUUGAAACGUCCCGCUAGCACCAGUGUUGAAUGUUAAUAAAAGAGUGAAAGCUUGUAUUAAUUUAGUAAAUUAAAUUUGGUUAAAUUUGGUGCCAGCAUCCGCGGUUACACCAAAGAAUUAAGUCAUAUUUUUACGGUAAAAAGACAGUUAGACUUUAGUAAUUUUGGCUGUUUAAAUAUCUAUAAAAAGGUAAAAUUUGUAUAUAGAUAUGAAAUCUAAUAGCAGCUUAUAAGUUGAAUCUGUGAAAACCUUGAGGGAAACUGGGAUUAGAUACCCCAUUAUUCUUGGCUAUAAACAAAACUAAAAAUUUACCAGGGUACUAUGAACGUAAUAAAUUUAAAACUCAAAGAGCUUGGCGGUAUUUUAGACCACUUAGGGGAACCUGUCUCAUAAUCGAUAAUCCACGUUAUACCUUACCUUUUUUUGUCUUCAGCCUGUAUACCGUUGUCGUCAGGUAACUUCUUAGAAACUAACAGUUAGCUAUUAACGCUGUAAAUUAAAACGUCAAAUCGAGGUGCAGCCUAUAAAAAGGAGAGGAUGGGUUACAAUUAUUUAAUUAUAAUUACGGAAGAUUACAAUAAAAACAAUCAUAAAGGAGGACUUAAAAGUAAAUUAAACUAUAAAAAUAAUUUGAAUAAGGCUCUGAAAUGUGUACACAUCGCCCGUCGCUCUUGUUGAAAAAUAAGAUAAGUCGUAACAUAGUAGGGGUAAUGGAAAUUGUCCCUAAACU